rnacentral:rRNA from 1 species
UACGGGGGGGAGCAAGCGUUGUUCGGAUUUACUGGGCGUAAAGGGCGCGUAGGCGGCCACCGCAAGUCGGUUGUGAAAUCUCUGGGCUUAACCCAGAAAGGUCAACCGAUACUGCGGGGCUAGAGUGCAGAAGGGGCAACUGGAAUUCUCGGUGUAGCGGUGAAAUGCGUAGAUAUCGGGAGGAACACCUGUGGCGAAGGCGGCCGCCUGGUUGGAGUACUGACGCUGAGACGCGAAAGCGUGGGGAGCAAACAGGG